rnacentral:rRNA from 1 species
GACGAACGCUGGCGGCGUGCUUAACACAUGCAAGUCGAACGAUGAAGCCUAGCUUGCUAGGUGGAUUAGUGGCGAACGGGUGAGUAAUACGUGAGUAACCUACCUUUAACUCUGGGAUAAGCCUGGGAAACUGGGUCUAAUACCGGAUACGACCAAUCUCCGCAUGGGGUGUUGGUGGAAAGCGUUAUGUAGUGGUUAUAGAUGGGCUCACGGCCUAUCAGCUUGUUGGUGAGGUAACGACUCACCAAGGCGACGACGGGUAGCCGGCCUGAGAGGGUGACCGGCCACACUGGGACUGAGACACGGCCCAGACUCCUACGGGAGGCAGCAGUGGGGAAUAUUGCACAAUGGGCGCAAGCCUGAUGCAGCGACGCCGCGUGAGGGAUGACGGCCUUCGGGUUGUAAACCUCUGUUAGCAGGGAAGAAGAGAGAUUGACGGUACCUGCAGAGAAAGCGCCGGCUAACUACGUGCCAGCAGCCGCGGUAAUACGUAGGGCGCGAGCGUUGUCCGGAAUUAUUGGGCGUAAAGAGCUUGUAGGCGGUUUGUCGCGUCUGCUGUGAAGGCCGGGGCUUAACCCCGUGUAUUGCAGUGGGUACGGGCAGACUAGAGUGCAGUAGGGGAGACUGGAAUUCCUGGUGUAGCGGUGGAAUGCGCAGAUAUCAGGAGGAACACCGAUGGCGAAGGCAGGUCUCUGGGCUGUAACUGACGCUGAGAAGCGAAAGCAUGGGGAGCGAACAGGAUUAGAUACCCUGGUAGUCCAUGCCGUAAACGUUGGGCACUAGGUGUGGGGGACAUUCCACGUUUUCCGCGCCGUAGCUAACGCAUUAAGUGCCCCGCCUGGGGAGUACGGCCGCAAGGCUAAAACUCAAAGAAAUUGACGGGGGCCCGCACAAGCGGCGGAGCAUGCGGAUUAAUUCGAUGCAACGCGAAGAACCUUACCAAGGCUUGACAUAUACUGGACCGCAUCAGAGAUGGUGUUUCCCUUCGGGGCUGGUAUACAGGUGGUGCAUGGUUGUCGUCAGCUCGUGUCGUGAGAUGUUGGGUUAAGUCCCGCAACGAGCGCAACCCUCGUUCUAUGUUGCCAGCACGUUAUGGUGGGGACUCAUAGGAGACUGCCGGGGUCAACUCGGAGGAAGGUGGGGAUGACGUCAAAUCAUCAUGCCCCUUAUGUCUUGGGCUUCACGCAUGCUACAAUGGCCGGUACAGAGGGUUGCGAUACUGUGAGGUGGAGCUAAUCCCUAAAAGCCGGCCUCAGUUCGGAUUGGGGUCUGCAACUCGACCCCAUGAAGUCGGAGUCGCUAGUAAUCGCAGAUCAGCAACGCUGCGGUGAAUACGUUCCCGGGCCU